UUUCACAUUUAAAAUUUAACUGUUCCCGAUGAUCAACGGACAUGAUCCAAAGAAAUUUUGGAACCAGUAACCGGAAGUUUUAUUUAUUGCCAUGCUGUAAACAAAGACAAAGGAAACGUACAAAAUAAAGAAUAACCUUAUCAUGCGUUAAAACUGGAUCAAUUAGACGUUCCAAAAUUUAUGAUAAAUUUUCUGAAAUGCAGAUUAAAAUGGAGAAUGGAAAUGGGGAUUUUAAAGAAGAAUAUAAGCUUAGAAAUGACUUCAACCAUCCUGGAAGAGCAAAUUUUUAUGAAGAAGCCAGCAGAUGUCAAAGGAAAUAAAAGGAAUGGAAGAAAGGAACCUUUGAAAAAGAACAGUGAUAUGAAAAUAUUGAAUAAAUGUUUUGCAUUUA